UGCAGUCGGACGGCAGCACGGACUUCGGUCUGGUGGCGAGUGGCGAACGGGUGAGUAAUGCAUUGGAACGUACCGAGUAGUGGGGGAUAACUAGUCGAAAGAUUAGCUAAUACCGCAUACGCAUUGAGAUGGAAAGCGGGGGAUCUUAGGACCUCGCGCUAUUUGAGCGGCCAAUGUCUGAUUAGCUAGUUGGUGGGGUAAAGGCCUACCAAGGCGACGAUCAGUAGCGGGUCUGAGAGGAUGAUCCGCCACACUGGGACUGAGACACGGCCCAGACUCCUACGGGAGGCAGCAGUGGGGAAUUUUGGACAAUGGGCGAAAGCCUGAUCCAGCCAUGCCGCGUGUCUGAAGAAGGCCUUCGGGUUGUAAAGGACUUUUGUCAGGGAAGAAAAGGUGAUUGCUAAUAUCAGUCGCUGAUGACGGUACCUGAAGAAUAAGCACCGGCUAACUACGUGCCAGCAGCCGCGGUAAUACGUAGGGUGCGAGCGUUAAUCGGAAUUACUGGGCGUAAAGCGAGCGCAGACGGUUUGUUAAGCAGGAUGUGAAAUCCCCGAGCUCAACUUGGGAACGGCGUUCUGAACUGGCAAGCUAGAGUAUGUCAGAGGGGGGUAGAAUUCCACGUGUAGCAGUGAAAUGCGU
rnacentral:rRNA from 1 species